GACGUAGGGCGCGAGCGUUGUCCGGAUUUAUUGGGCGUAAAGAGCUCGUAGGCGGCUUGUCGCGUCGAAUGUGAAAACUCGGGGCUCAACUCCGAGCUUGCAUUCGAUACGGGCAGGCUAGAGUUCGGUAGGGGAGGACUGGAAUUCCUGGUGUAGCGGUGAAAUGCGCAGAUAUCAGGAGGAACACCGGUGGCGAAGGCGGUUCUCUGGGCCUUACCUGACGCUGAGGAGCGAAAGCGUGGGGAGCAAACAGG
rnacentral:rRNA from 1 species